GUGCUGGCUUUGGCAGCGGAUAUGCUGAAAUUGGAACAAUGCACAGAAGAUCACUAUGACCUACACAAAGAUGACCCACAAAUUCAUGAAGUGGUCUACACAUUU
rnacentral:snRNA from 1 species